CCCCAGUUGGUCUAGUGGUCAGGAUUCAGCUCUUUCGCAGCUGUGGCCCAGGUUCAAUACCUGGUCUGGGAA